GGCAGCUGCGACUCUGGAGGCGGUGGCAACGUCGGCGGCGAGGAAGGAGUUGGGUGCGAGGUGAGGAUGACGACGGCGAGGUGGCUGGGUGUUUGGCAGCAGCGGCCACGGUGGUGGUGACCGUGUUUGCGGUCACCGAAGGCAUGGCGGCCUCGCUUGACUAGCCGAGGGCGUGGGAGACGGCUGCAUCUGGCCGGCGUGGCAUCGUGCAGUGGAGGGGUCGGAAACCGGCUUGGCGCAGAGAAGUGCAGCCGAUGGUAGCGGAGGCCGGCUCGGCGCGAGAGGCGCGGGCGGCGGAGAUGGAGGCCGGCUUGGCGUGAGAGGCGCAGCUGAUGGAGGGAGGCCGGAUUGGCGCGAGAGGCGCGUCCGGUGGAGGAGGCCGGCUUGGCGCGAGAGGCGCGGCCGAUGGAGGGAGGCC
rnacentral:misc_RNA from 1 species